rnacentral:rRNA from 1 species
UACGAAGGGUGCAAACGUUGCUCGGAAUCAUUGGGCGUAAAGCGCACGUAGGCGGCGCUCUAAGUCGGAUGUGAAAUCCCUCGGCUCAACCGAGGACGUGCAUCCGAAACUGGAGUGCUCGAGUAUGGAAGAGGGUCGCGGAAUUCUCGGUGUAGAGGUGAAAUUCGUAGAUAUCGGGAGGAACACCAGUGGCGAAGGCGGCGACCUGGGCCAAUACUGACGCUGAGGUGCGAAAGCGUGGGGAGCAAACAGG